AACGAACGCUGGCGGCAUGCCUAACACAUGCAAGUCGAACGAGACCUUCGGGUCUAGUGGCGCACGGGUGCGUAACGCGUGGGAACCUGCCCUUAGGUUCGGAAUAACUCCCCGAAAGGGGUGCUAAUACCGGAUAAUGUCUUCGGACCAAAGAUUUAUCGCCUUUGGAUGGGCCCGCGUUGGAUUAGCUAGUUGGUAGGGUAAAAGCCUACCAACGCGACGAUCCAUAGCUGGUCUGAGAGGAUGAUCAGCCACACUGGGACUGAGACACGGCCCAGACUCCUACGGGAGGCAGCAGUGGGGAAUAGUGGACAAUGGGCGAAAGCCUGAUCCAGCAAUGCCGCGUGAGUGAUGAAGGCCUUAGGGUUGUAAAGCUCUUUUACCCGGGAUGAUAAUGACAGUACCGGGAGAAUAAGCUCCGGCUAACUCCGUG
rnacentral:rRNA from 1 species